AUACGGAGGGUGCAAGCGUUGUUCGGAAUCACUGGGCGUAAAGGGCGCGCAGGCGGUUUGGUAAGUCAGAUGUGAAAGCCCACGGCUUAACCGUGGAAGUGCAUUUGAAACUGUCAGACUUGAGUAUCAGAGGGGAAAGUGGAAUUCCCGGUGUAGAGGUGAAAUUCGUAGAUAUCGGGAGGAAUACCGGUGGCGAAGGCGACUUUCUGGCUGAAUACUGACGCUGAGGCGCGAAAGCGUGGGGAGCAAACAGGAUUAGAAACCCCAGUAGUCC
rnacentral:rRNA from 1 species